CAUGGUUUUUCUGAACCCAUGAAAAAUGCUGAUAUGCUGACUGUACUGGGAAGAAUGCAAUAUUAAUCACAGUAGAGCUGCAAUUACAAAUAUAUUUCAGCUAAGCACAAAGGAUAAUCUCUCACACUUAAGGCACUGGUGGGGUGGGUGACCAGCAAAGUGGAUGACCAACUCUGUUCAGAAGACCUUAAUGAUGACAGCAAUACUUCCACAUAUGGAUUUUCAUUAUGAAACUCUGCCUUGCUUGUGUCUGAAGCAAGGUCUCCUACCAGGUAAGUAAGUGACACAAACCCUGCACGUCAGUCAGGCUCCCCUUCCAGCCGUGCCUACAGG
rnacentral:lncRNA from 1 species